ACAGAAUUGCUUCUGAACCACCCGUUGAAUGAGAAAGAGGAAGGAGAAACCUGAAAACGCACGACUUUUUCUUUCGUGCAGUGUCAGCCACAGAACGUGGUGGGUUAAUCUAGUUGGAGUAAAACACCCGGAAAAAAGACUAAUCGCGUCAACAGUUAUUUUCAAAAACUAAACCUAAUACCGUGCACAACAGUGUAACGGAGAUUGUGGAGAUACGCUUGUCGUUGACAUUGAAACGCGAUUCUACGAGUACGCCGCAGUCACGAAACCUAUGUAAGCCUGGCGAAAGUGCGGAUCUUUACAACUCGGUGAAAAAUAAGAGGUGUAUUUUGUCCAUGCCACGUGAACAAAUGCGUAAACCAACAAGGUCACUGAGUCAGCGGUGAAUAACCUGGAAAGGAACAGAAAUAUCCGUUCGGAUAAAGUAAGCCUUUAUUUUAAUACAUUAGAGUACGUAGAGCUCAUGCUCACGUUCUUCACAGCGAUCUUAUUAUCGGAUCCUGGCAUUUGCCCAGAGGCGAACGAGACGUAGUCUGCAUGUGAACGAGAGCAGAAACGCAUUCAAAAUAUAACCACCCCCGCGAGGGGUUGUUUUUCAUAUUUCGGAUUGGGAAGAAGAAGCAGGUGCGUAAGGCACGUCACACGCAUCAAAACUGAUCCGCGUCGAGAUAAAGCAUUAGACACAUAUUGCACAGGCACGGAUGGUGCACGUGGUGGAACGGGUAGCUCACUGUCUGAUAGAAGGGGCUGGCUGGAACGUGGAGACAACGAGUGGUGCGAAACUUGAAGGUGCGGUGGCGAUAUUAAGAAGUCACGGGUCGGGAUGGCCAAGACGACCUGCGGGAAGCUGCGAUAUUGUAGGCGUGAA